rnacentral:lncRNA from 1 species
GGCCCGCCUCCUCCGAGACCCGGGGCGAUGGAGACCUGGGAGCUCAGAGAUCCGGAGCCCCGGGGACCUGCAGACCUAGGGGACUCACACAGCCCGGAUCGCAUAGACCCAGGACCUCACAGAGCCAGAAUCGCAUAGAUCCGGCACCGCAGAGCCUCGGGACCUCAAACACGCUGGGACUCAAAGACUUCGCCUCCCACUUCCCAAUCCUGCACAAACUCCUCAUGAGACCCUGGGAGCUCACCGAUCUCCAGAGCCACCCUGCUCAAAGACCCCGGGAACCUCACAGACCCCGGGCCCCCUCCCAGCUCCUCUGAGAUACCGUAUUGUCCGUGUUGUCGUUCCCCUAACCCCUUGCAGCAAGGCCCUGCACGGGCCUAAAAACUGCCCCAGCUCCUUAGAUAUUGCUCCCUCUCUCCUUGCCCACACUUCCCUUCCCUGUAACAUUCAAAGGCUCUCCUUCCAGGACCCGGCCAACUCCUUGAAGACCCCACUCAGGACCAGGACAGACGGGGCCCCUCCCUCAUUCCAAACCUGACAUUCCUCACCCUUGCCCACAAGGGGCCCCAGAUAUACCCGAAUACUCGAGAGACUCUGGAGACAAGGCUUGGCCUGGCAGAGACACCUACCUAUUCCUUUCCAACUGCUCCACGCACACCCCAGGGUUCCGAGGUUUGGACCGCCUAGAGCCACUCCAGCACCCAACGUUGCCCUGAUGCCAGAGCUCAGCCCUCCAUCCUCUCCAACACUCCAAUUCACCGUUCUCAAGUCUUCAAUCGUGAACUCACCCCUAAAGUCCCCCGUGGAAGCACUAAUUCUAUCUACAGCCUACGGAACAGAGGACCUCACCCCUUUCCUGACCUCCAAGGAGAGCCCGACCAUGUGAUAGUUUUAAAGUUUGGUUUCUCUAGGACUGGAUAAUGGAUCAAAUAAACUCUGGAAAAGGAAAGAAAA